CCAUUUUGUGCCUGCAUGCUUGCUUAGCAGGAGUGAGCACAUGCAUGCACCCAGAGAAAAUUGCCUCUGUCCUAGUGGCACACGGGAGCACAAGGCUCUGCCCCGUGAUGUACAGUCCCUUUCCACAAUGUUGGAGAAAAAGCCGGGCCUUGUGUCUGCGCCUGAAUAUUCCUACAACUUCUCAGAGUCCUAUGGACAAUGACUGGGGAGAUAAACCAUGCAGGAAACACUA
rnacentral:snoRNA from 1 species